CUAACACAUGCAAGUCGAGCGGUAGCAUGAUUAGUAGCAAUACUGAUUGAUGACGAGCGGCGGACGGGUGAGGAACACGUAGGGACUUACCCAGUAGAGUGGGAUAACCGAGGGAAACUUUGGCUAAUACCGCAUAGACUCGGAAGAGGAAAGCUGCUGAGAGGUAGCGCUAUUGGAGAGGCCUGCGUCCGAUUAGCUAGUUGGUAGGGUAAGAGCCUACCAAGGCGAUGAUCGGUAACUGGUCUGAGAGGACGGCCAGUCACACUGGGACUGAGACACGGCCCAGACUCCUACGGGAGGCAGCAGUGGGGAAUAUUGGACAAUGGGGGACACCCUGAUCCAGCGAUGCCGCGUGGGUGAAGAAGGCCUUCGGGUUGUAAAGCCCUUUAGGUUAGGACAAAGGUUACGUGAGGAAAUGCAUGUAAUUUGAUGGUACUGACAGAAUAAGCACCGGCAAACUCUGUGCCAGCCGCCGCAGUAA
rnacentral:rRNA from 1 species